rnacentral:rRNA from 1 species
CUGAGCCAGGAUCAAACUCUACCGUACAUAUGCUAGGAUGUGAUGGGGAAGCCCUUCGGGGCGAAGUAGCUGAUUUCACACUGUCAAGAAAAGCUUCUAUCGAGUUUAAAGGCGUCCGUACCGUAAACCGACACAGGUGGGUGAGGAGAGUAUCCUAAGGCCAGCGAGAGAACUAUUGUUAAGGAACUCGGCAAAAUGACCCCGUAACUUAGGGAGAAGGGGUGCCUGUCUAUGACAGGCCGCAGAGAAUAGGCCCAAGCGACUGUUUACCAAAAACACAGGUUUCUGCUAAGUCGCGAGACGAUGUAUAGGAGCUGACGCCUGCCCGGUGCUGGAAGGUUAAGGGGAUCUGUUAGAGCAAUCGAAGCAGUGAACUUAAGCCCCAGUAAACGGCGGCCGUAACGAUAACGGUCCUAAGGUAGCGAAAUUCCUUGUCGGGUAAGUUCCGACCCGCACGAAAGGCGUAACGAUUUGGGCACUGUCUCAACAAUAGACUCGGUGAAAUUGUAAUCCCGGUGAAGAUGCCGGGUACCUGCGACAGGACGGAAAGACCCCAUGGAGCUUUACUGUAGCUUGACGUUGGGUCUUGGUACUACAUGUACAGGAUAGGUGGGAGACUAUGAAGCAUGGACGCCAGUCUGUGUGGAGUCAUCCUUGGGAUACCACCCUUGUAGUACUGGGAUCCUAACCAUAGGCCUUGAAUCAGGUCUUGGAACACCGUCAGGUGGGCAGUUUGACUGGGGCGGUCGCCUCCUAAAAAGUAACGGAGGCGCUCAAAGGUUUCCUCAGCACGGUCGGAAAUCGUGCGAAGAGUGUAAAGGCAAAAGGAAGCUUGAUUGUAAGACAUACAGGUCGAGCAAGGACGAAAGUCGGACUUAGUGAUCCGGUGGUACCGCAUGGAAGGGCCAUCGCUCAACGGAUAAAAGCUACCCUGGGGAUAACAGGCUUAUCUCCCCCAAGAGUCCACAUCGACGGGGAGGUUUGGCACCUCGAUGUCGGCUCAUCACAUCCUGGGGCUGUAGUAGGUCCCAAGGGUUGGGCUGUUCGCCCAUUAAAGUGGUACGCGAGCUGGGUUCAGAACGUCGUGAGACAGUUCGGUCCCUAUCCGUCGCAGGCGUAGGAAAUUUGAGAAGACCUGUCCUUAGUACGAGAGGACCGGGAUGGACGUACCUCUGGUGUACCAGUUGUUCUGCCAAGGGCAUAGCUGGGUAGCUAUGUACGGAAUGGAUAAGCGCUGAAAGCAUCUAAGCGCGAAGCCAACUUCAAGAUAAGAUUUCCCACCGUAAGGGUAAGACCCCAGGAAGACUACCUGGUUGAUAGGUCGAAGGUGUAAGUGCAGUAAUGUAUUUAGCUUAUCGAUACUAAUAGGUCGAGGACUUGAUC